GUGUUUGCUUAAGUAGCACAUAUACUAAAAUUCUAACAAUACAGAGUAGAUUAGCAUGGUUCUUGCACAAAGAUGACACACAAAUUUGUGAAUGAUUUCUUGUUAAA